rnacentral:rRNA from 1 species
GUUGACCUCGGAUCAAGGAGGGAUA